rnacentral:rRNA from 1 species
GAUGAACGCUAGCGGCAGGCUUAACACAUGCAAGUCGAGGGGUAGAGGCUUUCGGGCCUUGAGACCGGCGCACGGGUGCGUAACGCGUAUGCAAUCUGCCUUCCACAGAGGGAUAGCCCAGAGAAAUUUGGAUUAAUACCUCAUAGUAUUACAGGAUGGCAUCAUCCGGUAAUUAAAGUCACAACGGUGGAAGAUGAGCAUGCGUCCCAUUAGCUAGUUGGUAAGGUAACGGCUUACCAAGGCGACGAUGGGUAGGGGUCCUGAGAGGGAGAUCCCCCACACUGGUACUGAGACACAGACCGGACUCCUACGGGAGGCAGCAGUGAGGAAUAUUGGUCAAUGUGCGCAAGCCUGAACCAGCCAUGCCGCGUGCAGGAUGACGGUCCUAUGGAUUGUAAACUGCUUUUGUACGGGAAGAAACACUGAUUCGUGAAUCAGCCUGACGGUACCGUAAGAAUAAGGAUCGGCUAACUCCGUGCCAGCAGCCGCCGUAACAC